rnacentral:rRNA from 1 species
GACGAACGCUGGCGGCGUGCUUAACACAUGCAAGUCGAGCGGAAAGGCCCUCUCGGGGGUACUCGAGCGGCGAACGGGUGAGUAACACGUGAGUAAUCUGCCCCUGGCUUUGGGAUAGCCACCGGAAACGGUGAUUAAUACCGGAUACGACCACUUCUCGCAUGGGAUGGUGGUGGAAAGUUUUUCGGCCAGGGAUGUGCUCGCGGCCUAUCAGCUUGAUGGUGAGGUAAUGGCUCACCAUGGCUUCGACGGGUAGCCGGCCUGAGAGGGUGACCGGUCACACUGGGACUGAGACACGGCCCAGGCUCCUACGGGAGGCAGCAGUGGGGAAUAUUGGACAAUGGGCGGAAGCCUGAUCCAGCAACGCCGCGUGAGGGAUGACGGCCUUCGGGUUGUAAACCUCUUUCAGCAGGGACGAAGCGCAAGUGACGGUACCUGCAGAAGAAGCACCGGCCAACUACGUGCCAGCAGCCGCCGUAA